rnacentral:misc_RNA from 1 species
GGAACCAAGCUUGGUAAAGAUCAAAUCUAGUAUUUAUAAACAAACUUUUGACUUGGCAUGAUUUUACAUCACAGCACUGUAUCUGAUACUAGAGGGUAUAAUGAAAUGCAGAUUUGCGAGAUGACAAGCAGUAUUUGAUCGAUCAUCCUAGCGCCACACCAAUCACAACUGGUCAGGCAAGUCAUUUCCUUCUCUUGUUGUACUUGAACAAAGCAAGUAUUUGUCAAUUUCAUGAAGUAAACAGUAGCAAUUUUCAAUACUGAGCAGGGAGAAGAACUAAAGAAGAUGAUUGGUGCU